UACGGGGGGGGCAAGCGUUGUUCGGAAUUACUGGGCGUAAAGGGCUCGUAGGUGGCCAACUAAGUCAGACGUGAAAUCCCUCGGCUUAACCGGGGAACUGCGUCUGAUACUGGAUGGCUUGAGAUUGGGAGAGGGAUGCGGAAUUCCAGGUGUAGCGGUGAAAUGCGUAGAUAUCUGGAGGAACACCGGUGGCGAAGGCGGCAUCCUGGACUGUACCUGACGCUGACACGCGAAAGCUAGGGGAGCGAACGGG
rnacentral:rRNA from 1 species